GGUCCUAUGGUGUAGUGGUUAUCACAGCUGCUUUACGCGCAGUAGGUCCUGGGUUCGAAUCCCAGUGGGACCA